UUGAAUCAUUAUGGCAUGCAGACUUACAGGCUUGAAACCAUCCAAUUUCCACAUCAAGAAUAGAUCAGAUUUGGAAGUGAUAGAUCGCUUUUCUACUCGAAGUAACAAGACUUUGUUGACCAGCUCAAACAACAACUGGUAGACGGGAAGUAGUGCUUUCUUAUGGAACUGGUCCUCUUUCAGAUUUGAAUUAUCUUUCACGCUUGCAUUUCAAAAGUUGCAUUGACAAACAUAUCGUACACUAGACACCCCAACUGUAGGAACCUACAGAAUUCCCCAAGCAAUUUCACAUCAGAUACAAUAUCCACCCCAUUCACUAAAGCACACACAUG
rnacentral:lncRNA from 1 species